rnacentral:rRNA from 1 species
CGGGGUGGAGUAAUGUCUGGGAAACUGCCUGAUGGAGGGGGGUAACUGCUGGAAACGGUAGCUAAUACCGCAUAACGUCGCAAGACCAAAGAGGGGGACCUUCGGGCCUCUUGCCAUCGGAUGUGCCCAGAUGGGAUUAGCUAGUAGGUGGGGUAACGGCUCACCUAGGCGACGAUCCCUAGCUGGUCUGAGAGGAUGGCCAGCCACAUGGAACUGAGACACGGUCCAG